AAAGGGAGACCUAAUUCCGGUAGGAGACGAAAAAAAAGUAGUCCCUACCAAGAAUCAAUCCCAAAAGGUCGGAACGAGGUAUGAGGCUUUCAAACUAGGUUCUGGGUUCAUAAAAGACCUGAAUCAGGAACAAGGGCUAUUAGCUCAGGUGGUUAGAGCGCACCCCCGAUAAGGGUGAGGUCCCUGGUUCGAGUCCAGGAUGGCCCACCUGCACAGGUGGCAAAAACAAAAGAAGCGAGGAAUCAGCACCUUAUCUUACUUAUAUAGUAAGAGAGAAUGCUGGCUCUGAGUAAAGAGUCCAGAGGAACCUUGAAAACUGCAUAGAGCUAGGUGAAAAAGCCAAAAAAGAAGACCGCAAG
rnacentral:tRNA from 1 species